rnacentral:lncRNA from 1 species
GCCGCCACCUCAUGGUUAAACGUGUAGAGAAACUUAUAAUACCUUAUUUUUCAAUGGUAGAUAUGAGCCUUCUUCUUUUUCUCUUUCCCUUAUUUACUUUGUUGGUCUCUAAUUUAAGUACAGAUUUUAAGUUUUUAUUUUAUUUUUUAAAAAAAAUUUACUCUUAGUUUGUAACCAUCGCUAAUAGUUCUUUUUUUUGUAAUGUG